CAAAUUAUUUGUGGCUGUCAGGCAUCGGGAGCUGAAAGAGUUGAACCGCCUCAGAUCCUGGAGGAUGGGGAUUUUCUACCUGAGUUGGUAAAGCACUACUUUGCUUGCUUGCCGUGACUGAACACCACUGGCAUACACAUCCCUGAACAUCAGCAAAACCCACUGGAAAGAAUUAACGCAAAGAAGAGUGCAUGAUGCAGAGGAAGCUUGCGCUGCUGGUUGGCGUCACCACGUUUACCUUCCUCCUGAUGCUGAAGUGGGAGCAUGUGAUACACCUGGUGAACCUGAUGAGAAGUGAAAGACCCUCAG